AGCUAAUACUUGCUUUAGCACUCUUGAUUAAGUUCUUGAGUGUGUACUUGUUAAGCCUUUUAAGAAAAAAGUUAUUAACUUAAGGAAUUAUAACAAAGAAGUAACACGUAAAUGGAUUUUCCAUUUUUUAGUGUGUAUCAAUCGAGUUUCUGACCUAUCAGCUUUUGAUGUUAGGGUAUUGGCCUAACAUGGCUAUGACGGGUAACGGGGAAUUAGAGUUCGAUUCCGGAGAGGGAGCCUGAGAAAUAGCUACCACAUCUAAGGAAGGCAGCAGGCGCGUAAAUUACCCAAUUCUAAAGAAGAGAGGUAGUGACAAGAAAUAACAAUACAAGGCCAAUCUGGUUUUGUAAUUGGAAUGAUGGGAAUUUAAAUCCUUCCCAUAAUACAAUUGGAGGGCAAGUCUGGUGCCAGCAGCCGCGGUAAUUCCAGCUCCAAUAGCGUAUAUUAAAAUUGUUGCAGUUAAAACGCUCGUAGUUGAAUUUCAAAGAACCGAUAUUUUAAUAAUGCUGUUAGCUAGAGCCACAAAAAGUCAAGCCACUAUGGUUUCGGUUUUAUGUGCGCAUCUCUACCUAUCAAGUGUUUUUUUAAUUAAAGUGUUUCUUUUUAAAAUCUUCUUUAGCUUAAAACAUAUGGAAGAUUUUGUUACUUUGAGUAAAUUAAAGUGUUCAAAGCAAACAGAUAUAGCAUAAUGCGUUUUGAAUACUACAGCAUGGAAUAACAAAAUUGAACAAGUCAAAACUAUGUUUCUUUUUUUUUAUUUUUGGCUCAGUUACGAUUAAUAGGAGUAGUUUGGGGACAUUUGUAUUCAGAUGUCAGAGGUGAAAUUCUUAGAUUUUCUGGAGACAAACAACUGCGAAGGCAUUUGUCUAAAAUACUUCCAUUAAUCAAGAACGAAAGUUAAGGGAGUGAAGACGAUCAGAUACCGUCGUAAUCUUAACCAUAAACUAUGCCGACUAGGCUUUGGAUGAAAGAUUUUAAAAUAAGUGAUUUUCUCUUCGGAGUUAAUCUCUUAGAUUGCUUCCUUCAGUGCCUUAUGAGAAAUCAAAGUCUUUGGGUUCUGGGGCGAGUAUUCGCGCAAGCGAGAAAGUUAAAAGAAUUGACGGAAGGGCACCACCAGGCGUGGAGCUUGCGGCUUAAUUUGACUCAACACGGGAAAACUCACUAGUUUAAGACAAGAGUAGGAUUGACAGAUUAAUAGCUCUUUCUUGAUUUCUUGGAUGGUGAUGCAUGGCCGUUUUUAGUUCGUGAAUAUGAUUUGUCUGGUUAAUUCCGAUAACGAACGAGAUCUUAACCUGCUAAUUAGCGGCAAAUACGAUAUAUUCUUAUGUGGGACUGAAUACGGUUGAUUUGCUUAUUUUGAAGAAAAUAUUGGGAUGCGUAAAGUGUCCCUUUCCCUUUUCUACUUAAUUCGCUUAUCAUACUGUUUCUUUUUCGCGUAAGAAUGUAUUUGCUUGAUUGUAAAGCUUCCUAGAGGAACGAUGUGUGUCUAACACAGG
rnacentral:rRNA from 1 species